AGAGUUUGAUCAUGGCUCAGGAUGAACGCUAGCUACAGGCUUAACACAUGCAAGUCGAGGGGAAACGACAUCGAAAGCUUGCUUUUGAUGGGCGUCGACCGGCGCACGGGUGAGUAACGCGUAUCCAACCUGCCCACCACUUGGGGAUAACCUUGCGAAAGUAAGACUAAUACCCAAUGACGUCUCUAGAAGACAUCUGAAAGAGAUUAAAGAUUUAUCGGUGAUGGAUGGGGAUGCGUCUGAUUAGCUUGGUUGGCGGGGUAACGGCCACCAAGGCUACGAUCAGUAGGGUUCUGAGAGGAAGGUCCCCCANAUUGGAACUGAGACACGGUACCAAACUCCUACGGGAGGCA
rnacentral:rRNA from 1 species